rnacentral:rRNA from 1 species
GAGAAAGGAACGAAGAGCGAACGGAGGAUGCCUAGGCUAUCCGGAGGCGAUGAAAGACGUGGUAAGCUGCGAAAAGCCGCGGGGAUCUGCAAACAGGAAUUGAUCCGCGGAUGUCUGAAUGGGGCAACCCAGUAGGUUGAAGACCUACUACUCCCGUGAGGGAGGGCGAACCCGGGGAACUGAAACAUCUUAGUACCCGGAGGAAAAGAAAGAAAAGUCGAUACCCUGAGUAGUGGCGAGCGAAAGGGGCGGAGCCUAAACCGGCGUGUUUACGGACAUGCCGGGGUUGUAGGACCAUCAACAAAGAUACUUCAGGAAACCAGAACGCGUUGGAAAGCGUGGCCGUAGAGGGUGACAGUCCCGUACGGGUAACCGUGAAGUAUCGAAGAUGGCACCUGAGUAGGGCGGGGCACGUGGAAUCCUGUCCGAAUCUGCGGGGACCAUCCCGCAAGGCUAAACACUCCCGGAAGACCGAUAGUG